UGGCUCAGCAGUUAAGAGCACUGGCAUUCUUCCAGAGGAUCUGGGUUCAAUUCCCAG
rnacentral:tRNA from 1 species